rnacentral:rRNA from 1 species
AUUGAACGCUGGCGGCAUGCUUUACACAUGCAAGUCGAACGGUAACAGGCCGCAAGGUGCUGACGAGUGGCGAACGGGUGAGUAAUGCAUCGGAACGUGCCCAGUCGUGGGGGAUAACGCAGCGAAAGCUGCGCUAAUACCGCAUACGAUCUAUGGAUGAAAGCGGGGGACCGUAAGGCCUCGCGCGAUUGGAGCGGCCGAUGUCAGAUUAGGUAGUUGGUGGGGUAAAGGCUCACCAAGCCAACGAUCUGUAGCUGGUCUGAGAGGACGACCAGCCACACUGGGACUGAGACACGGGCCAGGCUCCUACGGGAGGCAGCAGUGGGGAAGUUUGGACAAUGGGCGCAAGCCUGAUCCAGCAAUGCCGCGUGCAGGAAGAAGGCCUUCGGGUUGUAAACUGCUUUUGUACGGAACGAAACGGUCCUGGUUAAUACCUGGGGCUAAUGACGGUACCGUAAGAAUAAGCACCGGCUAACUACGUGCCAGCCGCCGCGGUAACAC